AUGAGCUAAAAGGACAUUUUUCAUGAAAAUAGAACUAAAAAUAACAACAAUAAAAAUAAUGCAGAGAGAUCUAGGAGAAGACAUCCCCGUCUCCCAGGAAUAGCCAUGACAGAGGAAGCCUUCAGAAAGGCGGCUGUAGAAGAGUCUGAGGAACACUGGAAGAUUCUGCGAAUGCCUUUGGAUGAUUCAACAUCCCUUUAACAGAGCUACAACUCCACAGUCAGAAAAGGAGGCUCAAGUCUUGAUCCUGGCAUGUAACAUCCUGUGUCACUCAACCUCUCCGGGACUCAGUUUCCCCACCAGACCUCCGGGCCAUUCCUUGAAAUGCUGGGUUUCCUCUUCUACAGAACAGGGCUCUCUCUUCCACCGCAAGGCACCCUGGUGGGCAUCAGGUGCCGGAACACCUGAUAGGACAUCUGGAAGCUGCACACCUCUCCACGGAUGCUAAUAGGGGUCACGCAAAUGACAUGUUUAGCGAGCCGCUCUCUGCAUCAGAAGACUCGCAGGCUGGGUUCCGAGCAGAAUUGGAGGCUGGGUGGGGGGGCGGUGUGCAACAGAAUGAAGGAGAAGCCCCGCAGCCCCGAGCUGCCCUGCCCUUGCAGGGAUCCCACCAGGAAGGAAGGUUCGUGAAGUGAGGAGAAGAGGAAAGGGAAGAGCUUCUUUCCUCCCAUUCAAGUGGUUUUCUGCUGAGGACAGGUUUCCUCCUGUCCAUGGAGGCCCUGGUAGAGCAGCGACCCCAGAAUUUCGACCCCAGAGCUCCCCGGCCCGACGCCUCAGCCCCCGGUUUCCCCCACAACCCCAGGAAGGAGGCGGCCUCCCAUCAGUAGCAGAAAACUGGGGGUAGAACCUGGGACAUGGUUAUCCUCAGCCUACACGAAUAGCCUUGCUUUUUUUUUUAAGUUGGAAGUACCCAACUUUGAUAAUUGACAGAAAACAGCAACUAUUAAGCAACUAAAAGUCAUCAUUCCUAAAAUAAAAGUUCCUUGAGGUCAA